rnacentral:rRNA from 1 species
UACGGGGGGGGGCGAGCGUUGUUCGGAAUUAUUGGGCGUAAAGGGAGCGUAGGCGGUGCGGUAAGUUCGGUGUGAAACCUCCAGGCUUAACUUGGAGCUGGCAUCGAAUACUGCCGUUGCUAGAGUGUGGGAGGGGAGAGUGGAAUUCCCGGUGUAGCGGUGAAAUGCGUAGAUAUCGGGGAGGAACAUCGGUGGCGAAGGCGGCU